GGGGGUUGGACCGGAUGAUCUUUAAAGGUCUUCCAACCUAAAUCAUUUAGUGAUUCUGUGAUCUGAAGUGCAGACAGGGGAGCAUUAUCAGUGAAGUCACCUAUUUAGUUAGUAGAGCAUGUCCUCAAACAAAAACUUCUGCGCCUGGUUCUGCUGCAGACAUACUGUACAAUCCUGGCUACUAGCAGAUUAGAAGAAGACCUGCCAUAACUGUUCUCAAAUUUUUCUGACCUCUGUUAGCUUUGAAACAUACUCUCUCAGCAUUUUUGCUCAGUAACCUACUAAAAUCUUUAGGAAUAGUUUUGUUAAAGGGUUUUUCGGGAGAGAAAAAUAAAUAAAAAGAUUAAUUUCAAAUUGCAGCAGAGUCAGUCUUCCAGUGGUUAGUAAGUAAGUACAAUUUUUAUAUUUCUUCUUUGGAUAAAGUCACUGCCCAUGACUAGAAAAGAUCCUCUUUCACAGUUUCCGAACACCCCCGGGAGCUUGCUGAUCAGAAAUCAUUUCCCCUUUUGUAAAGGCAGGUCUUAUAGAAGUAGUAGCAAGCAAAGUACGUUAAAAUAUUGCCUGAUCUUACAAAAUUUUCUACUUCAUGUUGGGUUUACUGGCUCAGUAGAGUGCUCAAAUUUCAGUGUCCAGAUCUGGCUUAGCUUUAUCUUGUUGUACAUGUUCCGAAGGUACAGAAAAUAGUUCUGUUAAUCUUGGAAGUACUUUUUGUCUUCUAGGAAAGAAUAGACUCAAUUGUUUCAUUUUAAAUUGGAAAGAUUCACAAAAUUAAUAGAUCACAUAUUUUCUAACUGCACAGGUACUUUUUUAUCCAUGUUUUUGCCUGUGAUCUCUGUUUUGGAGAUCGUUUAACUUCCUGACUACUUUUGCUGGGUCAGGCUCUUACCUGCUAUGUGGGCAUCUGCUCCAGCACUUUGUUCUCAGCUGUGAGCAGCAGCAAAUACUCAAGAGUUUUAAGUAUGAAGCAUUUAUAAAAUUAACUCCUGGUAUAUUUCCCCACCUACCAGUAAACCUCAGUUUAGGAAUUUCAGCUUCAAGCCCGCAUGCAGAUCAUUGUAUGAAAGCUACCAUGACACUAUGAUCCCAUGAGUGGGUACCAAUGGCACUACCUUCGGUAAGCUUGUCUCAUCCCUUUUGAAUGUGUUACACUAGCAGUGGCUGAGCAAUUUUCAGGACCUGGCUUUUCCUCACGUAAUUCACGUUUAUCUUUUCUAGUUUUGUAUUAAAUACUUUUUGCUUAGUACACAUAGUAAAUUAUCUUCAUGAAAUAAGCAAUGUUUGCAUCCAGAUAAUACCCUAAAGUAUGUCAUGGCCCAUUGAAAACAUUUUUCUGUGUUUUGGAAAUUUAUCAGAGUAGCUGCAGUGACAUCUGGCUUUGUAACUUCAAUAAUACUGAAUUUGAAAUGAGAAAGAACUUGGUGUGCACAGGGAGAUCCAGGUACUGCAGCAAGUGCAGUGAGCAGGUGAUAAAGCGGAGUAUUUAUUUCUUUUUUAAGCUAACACUGGCCUGUCUCUAAACUGUCCCUGAGGCACACUGAUGGUGACGAGUUCAUCAUAAACUCCAGUCCUUAGAAAGUUCCAUGGAGUUGUGCAAAGGAGGUGAGACCCUACUUGACCACGCUAUGAAAGACAUAUUAGGCUCGAUGAUCUGUAGAAGCUGAUAGGUUAAAUUAUCAGCACUUUAAAAAUAUUAAAAAGAAAACAAAUACCUAGAUGUUUUUUAUUCACACCACACAUGAAACUGCUCUGCUGUGUUAAGUGAUUGCCAACUUUUACCCUACGAGCACAAAGAUUGAAGUGUUUCUGUAUACUGUCAGAUUCUGUGUAUCCUCUGGGAUGGAAUGUGCUACUGUGUGCUAGGAUCACACUACACUCUGUGUCAGCCUACACUGAAAUCAUCACAGAAGGAAAUUCUAUAUUGAAGACACCUAUGCCAUUGUCCAGGGAUUGUGCCUUUGCUUCCUGUCAGCUUUUGAAAUGAACAGUCCUUUCCAGUAGCAAAUGAAGUAUAAUUAGAGAUACUUUUACUUACAGAUUAACAUUAUUAAGUAGUCGUGCUCAGUAUAUUCGAAGCUUCGCUUAGUGCUUUAUUUGGCUACUGGCAUGAUUGGUUCUACAGUUUGCUUAUGCAGUUCCACAGUGCUGUGCAGCCCAAGAGUUGAGCUCAUUAUUGCUGAUUGCCAGUCAGUGUAGAGUAGCAACAUGAGAAAUGUUGCUUGGACAGGCAGUCCUAAGACUUGGAUACUUAUGCCAGGAACCAAACAGAAUUGAAACAGAAAAGGAAAAAAAUGGUAAAAUUGGAAGGAGAAUACAUGGUUUUCGUGUUGUAAGAUCCUCUAGGCAAGGAUUCCUGGGUUUUUCAGGGGUGGGUAUUUUGUUUCCAUUAGACUUCAGUCCCUAUGUUUAAUAUAUGCCUUUUAAGGUGAAUAUGAAACAAACCAACUGCUUUUAGGGGAAAAAAAAAAAAAAAAAUCUCCUUUACUCACUAUAGUGGGAAUCUCAGUUCCUUGGUUACAGUGGGAGAACCAAAUCCCUAAGACAGAGUUAUCAAGUGAGAGCCAGCACUGCCUGUCAGCUGCCUGGCUUGAGCAUUUCAGAGGAUAAUGAUGGACAAGGUAGUGCAUGGAAAGUUCUGUGUGCUAUGUCCUGUGUCAACAGAAAUAAUUUUCAUGCGGACAAGGAUGCCUAAAAAACUUGAUGCCUAAAAAAGAUCUUGCAUGAGCAAAUAAUGUUAAUGUAAUAAUAUUUAAAAGCUGCUGUCAUAGUAGUACUUAUUUUUAUAUAGCUGGUCAGUCCAGCAGAUAACCUUUGUAUGUCUGAAUAGCACAGUAAAAAUCCGUGAAGAAAUGUAGUUGGAUGAGGUGAAAUAGAUUACUUUUUACAUCUACCAACCUUUAAGCUUUGCUUAUAUUAAUCAUACUUAAUUCCUAGCAGUGAUUUACAUCUGUUUUAAUGAUGUUUGUAGUGGACAUUGCAUCUAUCAACCUGUCUUUUUCAGCCUUAAAGCACAGACUUCAAGAAUAUCCUUGAACCAGAUCCCUGACACUAUCAGUUAUUUGAAAUAGUCAUGCUUCUCUUUGACCUCCAUGC